rnacentral:rRNA from 1 species
AUUGAACGCUGGCGGCAGGCCUAACACAUGCAAGUCGAACGAGGGGCGGACGGGUGAGUAAUGUCUGGGAAACUGCCUGAUGGAGGGGGAUAACUACUGGAAACGGUAGCUAAUACCGCAUACCAUCGGAUGUGCCCAGAUGGGAUUAGCUAGUAGGUGGGGUAAAGUCUCAGCUAGGCGACGAUCCCUAGCUGGUCUGAGCGGAUGCCCAGCCACACAGGGACUGAGACACGGUCCAGAUUGCUACGGAAUGCAGCAGUGGGGAAUAAUGGCCAGUGGGCGUAAGCCUGAUGCAGCCAUGCCGCGUGUAUGAAGAAGGCCUUCGGGUUGUAAAGUACUUUCAGUGGUGAGGCGUUAGUCGCAGAAGAAGCACCGGCGAACUCCGUGCCAGCAGCCGCGGUAAUAC